GUCCUUUAGAAUUUUAUUUAAGGUCUGACCUGCCCACUGAAUAUUUUAAAUGGCCGCAGUAAUUUGACUGUGCAAAGGUAGCAUAAUCAUUAGUUUUUUAAUUAAAAGCUUGUAUGAAAGGUUGGACGAGGUAAAAUCUGUCUCUAUUUAAUUUAAUUUAGAAUUUAACUUUUAAGUCAAAAGGCUUAAAUAUUAUUAAAAGACGAGAAGACCCUAUAGAUCUUUAUAAUUUAUUUAAUAAAUUUAAUUAAGAAUUUUUAAAAUUUUAUUAAUAAAAUUAUUUUAUUGGGGUAAUAUAAAGAUUAAAAUAAUUCUUUUUUUUUAUUAACAUUAAUUUAUGAUUUUUAUGAUCCGGUUUUAUUGAUUAUAAGAUUAAGUUACCUUAGGGAUAACAGCGUAAUUUUUUUAGAGAGUUCUUAUCGAUAAAAAAGUUUGCGACCUCGAUGUUGGAUUAAAGAUUAUUUCAGGUGUAGAAGUUUGAAAAUUUUGGUCUGUUCGACCAUUAAAUCUUUACAUGAUCUGAGUUCAGACCGGUGUAAGCCAGGUCGGUUUCUAUCUUUAGUAAGUUAAAAUAUUUUAGUACGAAAGGACCAAUUAUUUGAUAUAUUUAUAUUAUUAAUUUUUGAUUAUUAUUAA
rnacentral:rRNA from 1 species